UCGAGGAUGUCCCUUUUGAUGAGCUCAUAGGCAUGCAAGGCUUAGUAUUUCACUUGGUUGAGAAUGCAAUUACAAUAUGUAUUACAUACAAGUCUGAUGGAUUCAAGAGAAUGAAGAGUAAAUAAUACUAUACUAUAAAUACGUCAACUACAGAUAACCCUCCCAACUACAAUGUUGCACCUGACAACCUCCUACUCAACGAGGCCAAGCUAUCUGCAGGGGACCAUGCCCCUGGACGUUCCUAAGAGGUGUGCUGCUGGAUGACCUUCUUGCUGCUGAAACAACAAAUGCUUGUAACUGCAGCUCCUGCUAACAUGCAAGCUGGAUGAGCACCGGGCAUAUUUGCUACGAUGAUGAACAAACAUGCAAAUGACUACAGAAACAACAGCUGAUGGAGCUGUGGUUCUUGGAAACCCAGUUGCUCCUCCUGUUAAUGGGGAUGUGUAUGCGGAUAUCAGCCCUGAGAAUGUUGUGGUCCAGUGACACCGAGAAGAUAGUGCAAAUGUGCUAAUUAUUUGGUUGAAGCAUCUGCUGCAGAGGUUGAGGUAAUUAGUGCUACUUUAGCUGCUAUAAAGGCCAGACAAGUUGGAGAUGAGAUGAGCAUUUUAUCAUAUUGCUUUGCCUGUAAUAACCAAAAUUGAUUGAUUUAGUUUCACACAACAUAGAUAAUUAUAUCGUCAGGUUCAAUUUUACUUAUGAAAGUUGAACAUUUCUUAUCUUGUUAGAUUUCCUCUUUGUAAGUUCUAGGACUUUAGUUAAUUGAAUAUCUUAAGGCAUGCAUGCCAGAACUUUCCAGAUGGUAACACUUGAUGCAAUUCUGUUCCUACUAUUCUUACCUGAUACUACCUAGACGACCUUCAAGCAUCAAUAACUUAAUCCUUUUAGGUUUUCUACUUCUUUCUCCAGUACAGACAUAAUAUUGUUUGGUGCUUCCCAAUAUUUGGACGUGAAAGUAGAGAAGCUUUACAUUUCAAGAAAUGUUAGAUUAUCAAUAAGAAAAUAUGGUCCAAGCCGGACUACUACUUCUAAAUGUUUUGUUUUUCAC